rnacentral:rRNA from 1 species
GAGGAUCUCGACCCAAGAUCUAGGGAUGCCACGGCUGAAGAGGUUGAGGAAGAGGUAAAACAAAGUUGCUUCUUUGACAAACGAAUGAAACCAACAAACCUUGAGAGGUUGAACAACUUAAAAGAAAGAAUACAUCGGAGACAAACAAGAUUGCAAACAGUCCGUUGGACAAGACAAACAAGGAAUACGACGAGAACCAAGAGCUUAGGGGACAAGAUAGAUUUUGAAACCACUCCGGUUAAAAUUAGCUGGACAAGGAAUAAUAAUAAACAAUUCGGGCAACACUCUGGUUGAAAAGAGACACAAGACUUGAUAAGAUGAAAAAACUCAAAAAGAGGACACAUCACUCCUGUUAGAUGGAUAAGCAAAGGAAAGAACAUGAUCUUAUAAGUGAGGUUGUUUCCCCACAUGUAUGAGCAUGAGAACAAGAUGGACAUUGACACACGCUCCUCCUCCGCCACCGCCGCACCACGCCGCGCUGUGGGUUGUGGGAAAGAGCCGAGCCGAUGUUCGCUUUGCCUCCCUCUUUUGCUUCAUCUCCCAUCACUGCCCUCUCGCCUCCUUCUCCUGUGCCUACAAAAGAGAGGUCGCUCCUCUCCAGAGAAACGCAUCAGAUAUUAUCUUCCUCUCGCCAUCGAGUUCCUGAUCACGACAGUAGGCCUCCGAAACCCCACCUCUUUGAGUCCUAUGCGGGAGAAGGGUGAUAAGAUUUUUGGGGAGCGCUCUGCGCGACUACUGACCGGUUCAUCACGGACGUUCCGAACACCGACAACCACUUCCCCAACGACGACUUCUUCCCCGACGUCGACAACCUCUUCGACAACAUGGCUGGCGACGACCUCGACCCCAAGACCGGUGCUUCUGCCGCUGCUCCAUACGUCUUUGUGUUCUUUCUGUUUAAGACCAUGCUACAAUUUCUUGCUCUAGCCUUUCUUGUUCUAGCCUCUGUCCUACAUAUGCUCUGUUCUAGUUCAUCCACUUCAUAUAUAACGAUGCUUUUUACCUUCUCUAUGUCAGAUUGCAUGACUUACUUUAUCUCUGUCAUAGUAGUCAUGUUUUAUCUAGUAUUUAUGUUCUUAAAAUCACAUGGUAAAUUGCUCAUAUUUCUAACAGAUUUGUGUCGGGUUGUGAGAGGAAGAAGAACGGGCUUGAGAAAGAUGAAAGGGCGGGACAAGGGAAGGACGUUGAGGAACGUCCGUUUCAUUGAAUCAGGAAAUUUUAUUUUCACAAUAUACAAGCUUCCAAGUUUAUACUAUUGGGAAAAUAUCUGGUGCACCGGAGCUUGUGGUGCUACCGAUGCACCGAACUCAUAUUGUACUUUUAAAAUGUUUAAAAAAUUGUGAAAAAAUAACGCACUCAUACAACAUCAAUGUAGGUUGUCACAAAAUUUUAAGUCAAAAUUCGAAACAUAACUCGAAAAACAAAAAUGACGAAUUCAACAUUGAAUAGUACAUAACAUAACUUGGGCUUUAGAUUUGGCCCAUUAUUACAGGAAUGUCAAAUUUGUCAUUUUUGUAUCUCAAAAAAUAUUUCAAUUUUUUAUACAAAUUGUUGUGACAACAUACAUUGAUGUUGCGUUAACGUGCUAGAUUUUUUUUUCAGAUUUUUUAAAAUAUUGUAUGUCAUCCGGUGCACCGGUAGCACCACAAGUGCGGGUGCACUGGAUACAUUCCCUUAUACUAUUACAUAGGCAAAUGCAUCGUUUCUACAGUACGACGAUCCAUGCAUGCGUUUAAUGUUCAUUAUUCAAAAUCCAUUUUUUUCAUAAAGAUUCAAAAUCCAUAUAUACACCAUACUGUAGCUAGCCAACACUGGAUGCUGCAUGGACUUAUGUAGUAUAAGUGUUUAUCUUCAUAUACAAGCUUACAACUUUGUGGUGUAUUACAUAGGCAAAUGAAUCGUUUGUACGAGGAUCCAUGCUUUAUUCAAAAAUAAAUCCGUAUAUACGCCAUGUAUUGCAGUCUGCAGCUGCAUGGUAUUCAGGUAUUGUACGUAGCUUAGCUGAUAAACCACAUGCAUACUCGAUGAUGCGUGGACUGACUGAUGUAGUAGUACUGGUGCUUAAGAGCUGUCCAUGGUCGGGUAGUAGGCGUAGGUGGCCAUGCCGCAGUUGCCGCCGUUCCCGCGCGUGAGGCGCAUAUAGCCCGCCUCGCCCCACCCCGUCCCCCACUGGUUCUUCACCAGCCAGUAAUCCUGCCCGCCACCGUCCGUCCCGUAGCCCACCACCGUGACGGCGUGGUUCAGGUUCUGCCCGCACGACGAGCUGCCCGUGUACACGCCGCUCAUGUACUGCUUGAAGUCAGAGUCGGCCUCCACGCCCACGGCCACCGGCUGGCUCGCCACGAGCUCCUGCAACGCACCCUCGUCGCCGUUCAGGCUCACCAUCCGGGGUGCGCCGACGGCGGCGGCUGAAUUUGGGCUGACGUCGCCGCCGCGGCACGUGCCCUGCUGGCCGAUAUACGCGUAGGCUGCCUCCUGCUGCAGAGUGUUGGGCAAUAAAGCCGUGGCGAGUCCGGGACGCGGUGCGCGCCUGCGUGCGCGCGGUGAACGCGUCGGGCUCGGCCCGUGGCAGCCUGGGUCGCGUGCGUGCGCGACUAGGCGUGUGUGUGUGUCCACGCGUUCGAGCGCAUGGGCCGUUGAGUGUAGGCGAG